rnacentral:rRNA from 1 species
GAUGAACGCUGGCGGCGUGCCUAAUACAUGCAAGUCGAGCGAACAGACGAGGAGCUUGCUCCUUCGACGUUAGCGGCGGACGGGUGAGUAACACGUAGGUAACCUACCUAUAAGACUGGGAUAACUUCGGGAAACCGGAGCUAAUACCGGAUAAUAUUUCGAACCGCAUGGUUCGAUGGUGAAAGAUGGCUUUGCUAUCACUUAUAGAUGGACCUGCGCCGUAUUAGCUAGUUGGUAAGGUAACGGCUUACCAAGGCAACGAUACGUAGCCGACCUGAGAGGGUGAUCGGCCACACUGGAACUGAGACACGGUCCAGACUCCUACGGGAGGCAGCAGUAGGGAAUCUUCCGCAAUGGGCGAAAGCCUGACGGAGCAACGCCGCGUGAGUGAUGAAGGUCUUCGGAUCGUAAAACUCUGUUAUUAGGGAAGAACAAACGUGUAAGUAACUGUGCACGUCUUGACGGUACCUAAUCAGAAAGCCACGGCUAACUACGUG